GAAAUGCGAUAAGUAGUGUGAAUUGCAGAAUUCAGUGAAUCAUCGAAUCUUUGAACGCACAUUGCGCCCCUUGGUAUUCCAUGGGGCAUGCCUGUUCGAGCGUCAUUUGUACCCUCAAGCUCUGCUUGGUGUUGGGUGCCUGUCCCGCCUCCGCGCGCGGACUCACCUCAAAUCCAUUGGCGGCCCCCGCGUCGGCCACGAGCGCAGCAGAAACGCGAACUCGUGAGCCCGUCCGGGCGGCUCCCAGAAGCUACACCCACCCAGUUUGACCUCGGAUCAGGUAGGGAUACCCGCUGAACUUAAGC
rnacentral:misc_RNA from 1 species